rnacentral:lncRNA from 1 species
AUGAGGAUGAAUUUGAUCUGCUUCUAUAAUUAUUCAUUACAAAUACUGACGUUCUCGAAACAUCCCAAGUAUUCCAUACAUACUCCCCCACGGUGGGGGGUGGGUGGGGGGAGCAUAUGCCGAGCAAACAGUUUCCACCCAGUGGAGAGGAUACGGAUCCACACCGCCCCUCACUUCGUGCUCCGCGUUCUGAACCAAAGAGAUGCCAGACGAGAUGAGAAUAUUAGCUUCAUCAGCGGCCAAAGCUCCUUGGAGAUCUGGCUUGAGAUCUCGGCCAGGUGGGCUCCCAAUUCUUGGCCACCGAACCAGCAGACAUCCUUCGGGCCAGGCGCAGAGCUGGACGCGCACAAGGCUUCGCCUUUCGGGGCUGGCUCUCGCCGCAGGACGGGUCCCCAGACUGGAACACACUUGUCGGCAGGCAGUGGAGGAGGCUCAAGAGGGAGGGUGAGAGGAGCUGGGCUGAAGUGCCCACGUCCUUCCGCGGGAGUCGCCCAGGAGCCACGGCUCCGCUCCCUGCCGGGGAGAUCCGUGAGUGACAGGUGGGAGGCAAGGGGGCUAGCGGUCCCCAGUCCUCCCCUACACGCACCCGAGAAUCGCCUGGUGUCCCUGCAAAGCACAGAGGCCCACCCACUACCGACUGGAUGGACGGAGGUGGAAACGAGGCGCCAGCACUCUCAAAGCCCCCAGGCGACUCUGAUGUGCAGCCAGCGUCGAGGACCAGCUCGGGCUGAGGUCCACCCGCGAGGAAGCCUGGGGCGUGGGGACCCAAUGGCCAGAGAAGGCGGGGACCCGGUGGUGGUCCCGGAGAUGACUCUGGGGGGCUCUGUUAUCCGUUCUUCCUGUCCCACCAGGACCAUCCACCUUCUGAACCUUCUAAGGAUCAGGCCGGUGACCUCCGCCCCUGUCUGCACUGGUCUGACCCCGCAGCUCUCGGCGAGCCUGGGCGCGGGCGCUACACGUGAACAACGGGGGCCAAGACGGGAAGAAGCCCCUUGGAACCCACGUGUUCUCCCAACUCCUUCAAGUCCAGGCCGCGGCAGCAAAACCCAGCAGGCCUGA